rnacentral:rRNA from 1 species
AGUGAACGCUGGCGGUAGGCCUAACACAUGCAAGUCGAACGGCAGCACAGUAAGAGCUUGCUCUUACGGGUGGCGAGUGGCGGACGGGUGAGGAAUACAUCGGAAUCUACUUUUUCGUGGGGGAUAACGUAGGGAAACUUACGCUAAUACCGCAUACGACCUACGGGUGAAAGCAGGGGAUCUUCGGACCUUGCGCGAUUGAAUGAGCCGAUGUCGGAUUAGCUAGUUGGCGGGGUAAAGGCCCAUCAAGGCGACGAUCCGUAGCUGGUCUGAGAGGAGGAUCAGCCACACUGGAACUGAGAGACGGUCCAGACUCCUACGGGAGGCAGCAGUGGGGAAUAUUGGACAAUGGGCGAAAGCCUGAUCCAGCCAUACCGCGUGGGUGAAGAAGGCCUUCGGGUUGUAAAGCCCUUUUGUUGGGAAAGAAAAGCAGCAGGUUAAUACCCCGCUGUUCUGACGGUACCCAAAGAAUAAGCACCGGCUAACUUCGU